rnacentral:lncRNA from 1 species
GUGUAACCGCUGUUUCUGGAUCAAAGAGCUCGGCUUGUUCUUACGUGAUUUUGAACCGAUAAGCCUGUUAAGGGACACAAGGAAGUGGUGAAGAUGUAAUGUAUCGAAACUUAUCUUUUUAUGUUAUUUGCUAUUCCAGUAUGUUGUAUGUCGAGACUAAUAUUCUAUGGCUAAGUUGUUGUUUUCUAAUAUUUGAUUAAAUGCUAUUUAUAGGCAG